rnacentral:rRNA from 1 species
UCGUUAACGAACGAGACCUUAACCUGCUAAAUAGCCAGGUCGGCUUUUGCUGAUCGCCGGCUUCUUAGAGGGACUGUCAGUGUCUAACUGACGGAAGUUUGAGGCAAUAACAGGUCUGUGAUGCCCUUAGAUGUUCUGGGCCGCACGCGCGCUACACUGAUCAAGUCAACGAGUUUACAACCUUGGCCGGAAGGUCUGGGUAAUCUUUUGAAACUUGAUCGUGCUGGGGAUAGUCCAUUGCAAUUAUUGGACUUCAACGAGGAAUUCCUAGUAAGCGUGAGUCAUCAGCUCGCGUUGAUUACGUCCCUGCCCUUUGUACACACCGCCCGUCGCUAAUACCGAUUGAAUGGAUA